rnacentral:rRNA from 1 species
AUUAAAGUGGCACGCGAGCUGGGUUCAGAACGUCGUGAGACAGUUCGGUCCCUAUCUGUUGUGGUCGUUUGAAAAUUGAGAGGAUCUGACCUUAGUACGAGAGGACCGGGUUGGACAUACCUCUGGUGUAUCUGUUGUAGUGCCAACUGCACCGCAGAGUAGCUAUGUAUGGAUUAGAUAAGCGCUGAAAGCAUCUAAGCGCGAAACUAGCCUCAAGAUGAGUUUUCAUUGAAGGUCCCCGUAGACUACGGGGUUGAUAGGCUAUAAGUGUAAAGCUGGUAACAGCAAAGCUGAGUAGUACUAAUUACCUAAAUACUUUAAAUUUAUUUU